rnacentral:rRNA from 1 species
UGGGGAAUUUUGGACAAUGGGCGCAAGCCUGAUCCAGCAAUGCCGCGUGUGUGAAGAAGGCCUUCGGGUUGUAAAGCACUUUUGUCCGGAAAGAAAACCUCGUGGUUAAUACCCGUGGGGGAUGACGGUACCGGAAGAAUAAGCACCGGCUAACUACGUGCCAGCAGCCGCGGUAAUACGUAGGGUGCAAGCGGUAAUCGGAAUUACUGGGCGUAAAGCGUGCGCCGGCGGUUCGCUAAGACAGAUGUGAAAUCCCCGGGCUUAACCUGGGAACUGCAUUUGUGACUGGCGGGCUAGAGUAUGGCAGAGGGGGGUAGAAUUCCACGUGUAGCAGUGAAAUGCGUAGAGAUGUGGAGGAAUACCGAUGGCGAAGGCAGCCCCCUGGGCCAAUACUGACGCUCAUGCACGAAAGCGUGGGGAGCAAACAGG